CCAUAACUGAUAACUCACUCCAACGGCGCAACAGCAGCACACAUUCCCUCCCUCCCAUCAAUCUCGAGCUCGUCGUUCCUCACUCACUCCCUCACUUCCGUUCAGUCACCGGACUGCUCUUGCCGCGUCGCAAGUUGGAGCUUCAAAGCUCACUCCCUCACUCUUGCUCAUGCAGCUAACGAUUCGGCAGUAGAAGCACAGUUGCCGGGCUUGCCUCCUGCCUCCGUUGCAAAGCUCUGUUCCACCGUCACCAGUGCCAUCUAUGUUCCAUCGGUCAGUGCUGCUCCCCAUAUUGCUAAGGAUCUGCUCUGUUCUAUGCUUCUAGCUGUUGUUACUGGUUUCAGGAUUUUCUAUCAUAUUAUCUAUGUAUUCUUAAUUUACUUUGGUGAAUUUGUUAAUUAUUAUAGCAUUGUUCUGAUUUAUAUGAUUUAUAUUAAUUAUAAUUUAUAUUUCUGAUUCUGAUUAUUCUUGAGAUUUUGAUUUUGUUCAUUAUAAUUUAUAUUUUUAGAUUGUUUGUGAUUUGAUUUCUGUGAUUUCUUUAAAAUUUUCUGAUUCCUGGGACAGGCUUCAAUUCAAGAUGGUAUGGUAUUGUUUAUGUGAAUCAGUCUCAUUAGGGUUUGGUUUAUUGAUUCUUUCACUCUGCUCCCAGGAAACAGUGGUGGAUUGGAUUAUUGUUGAUAAGAUUUUAUGACUUGUUUCUGUAGAUGGUGUCGUGGACUUGUGGUCAAUAUGGUUGUUGGUGGGGAAGUGGUCGAAACGCAAAGCAGUUUUCCUUGCUGAAAAAGCUUGAACUAGAGAAUCUAAAAUUGGAACCAAGAUCAAAGAGCUUACUUUGCUGGAAAGCAUCAAGAGCAAUCCAUCAGAAAGUAAUCAUAUCUUUUAUGAUCUAAAUUUAAUGUUAGAAUUCAUAGAUGAACCUUUUUUCUUUGAAGUAAAUAAAAAUAAUAAUAUUUUCUCCACUAUCAAGAAUAUAUUCAAACUUUUCAGGUGAGACUGUUAACUAGAAAUAUAGUAGUGUUGAUGCAUAUGUUUAUAGUUUUUAUCUUUUAGUUCAUAUGUUGUGAUUGUGUUUAUUUUUUUGUUAUUUUGACUUCUAAGUUUGUAUUUGAAUGAGAUCAUAAUAUUAUGGUUCAA